ACCCUGUGUGGACUGAGGCCACCAUGUGCACGGUUUUCAGCUAUGCCUCAUUCGCUUGCUGUGUGAAUCUGGGCUGCAGGGCCUGCUGCUGUGUGCCACAGGCCAGUGCCCUGCAGUGCAAUUGUACCUGAGGACCCAAGGUGGCCAGGGAAGCCCCAGGUGCGACUUGGCAGGGGAAGCAGGGGCUGUGGACGGAUGGAGAGCUGUCAUGUGGAAAGGCAGUGUGUCCCCAGGCCGUGGCCCAGCCUCCAACACCCCCAAGUCCCCUCCAGGCCUCUCCAGACCAGGCCCACCACAUACUGCCUGUGCAACCUCGGAAACCUCCUGGGAACAUCCACCAUAUGCCAGGCAUAGUGUCAGACAGGAGGGGACAGAGAAAAACAAGAUCAACAACCGCCCUGCCCUUGUGGAGCUGGCGUUCUAGUACCGGAGACAAAACAAGGUGCUUCCAAGGAGGAAGCCGUGCUCAUCAGACACACACAGUAGAUGAGGGAGUAUGGUUGAAACAAGACUUGUCCUGAGUUGAUAUGGAAGCUGGGUAAUGGAUACAUCCACCUUCAUUAUAUGAUUUUCUCUAUAUUAGUAAGAAAACAAAAGCUUUUAUUAAAAAUUUUAAACAUGAUAUAAA
rnacentral:lncRNA from 1 species